rnacentral:snRNA from 1 species
ACACGGCCGACGCGGGUCAGAGUGUAGUAUCUGUUCUUAUCAGCUUAAUAUCUGAUACGGGUUGUAUUUGGCCCCAAGAUAUUAAACUUAUUUUUGCAAGCUGGCGGAGUGCUUGAAGCCUGCUUCACCUCCGCCGCGGGUCGAUCCGGUAUUGUGCUAUAUUAUUAUAGUAUAGUCUACGGACA